UGGGGAAUAUUGCACAAUGGGCGCAAGCCUGAUGCAGCCAUGCCGCGUGUAUGAAGAAGGCCUUCGGGUUGUAAAGUACUUUCAGCGAGGAGGAAGGCAUUAAGGUUAAUAACCUUAGUGAUUGACGUUACUCGCAGAAGAAGCACCGGCUAACUCCGUGCCAGCAGCCGCGGUAAUACGGAGGGUGCAAGCGUUAAUCGGAAUUACUGGGCGUAAAGCGCACGCAGGCGGUCUGUUAAGUCAGAUGUGAAAUCCCCGGGCUCAACCUGGGAACUGCAUUUGAAACUGGCAGGCUUGAGUCUUGUAGAGGGGGGUAGAAUUCCAGGUGUAGCGGUGAAAUGCGUAGAGAUCUGGAGGAAUACCGGUGGCGAAGGCGGCCCCCUGGACAAAGACUGACGCUCAGGUGCGAAAGCGUGGGGAGCAAACAGG
rnacentral:rRNA from 2 species